CUGCAUUCAAAAGGUAUUAGUCAGCCGCCGGGGUCUGGCUCUGGGAUGGAGGCCAAGGCCGAUCCCUGGUGGGGAAGAGAGGCCUGUAGUCUUCAUCGGUGGCCCAGGAGCCCUUCAGGAUUUUGACCAAUGCCAGCAGAGAUGGCUGUGAUCCUGAACUCUAAGAAGUCCACAGAACGUGCCUGCAGGAGCCUGGGAGUGAUCUCCUUGGCCAGUAUGGAGGCCCCAAGGAACGAGCUCCAGGACUCAGAUUCCUUCAGACCCUACUUGUGAAAGUGAGCAUAAAAGAUCUGAGCCUUCUUCCUUUGGUCCAGGGUGGCCCCCAGGGCUGGGGGGAAACGCCCCAACAUAUAUUCUUGCCAGCUCUUCACAGGGAAUAUGGAGCUGUGAAAGGGAUCAGGAGGGGUGAGAGACACACCAGAAUGUCAGGGGGAGGUCGUUAGGCUCACCUUGGGAAAAGUGACUCCAAAAUCAUUGCCGCAAUUAGAAAAGGCGACAUUUGGGUACUUGAUGAAUCUGUCUGUGAUUUUCCAGUCAGUCGUCUACUAAACACCUACUAUGGGCCAGCCAGGCACUGCACUAAGUGACGGAGAGGGGAAAAAAAGGUCCAACCCCUUGCCCUCUGGGCCACACAUCUGCUACAUAAUAAAAGUAAACUGGAAAGAAAAUUUCUCUCAAACGAGUUAGAUAAUUGGCAGGAAACUCAUCUUUAUUCUGUUGAGCCUCUGGAAUCUUUCCCCACUCUGAGGACGGAUGACCGAGACGGCACUGGGCAUUUCCUGCUGGCCCUGGGAGGAUUUGGGCACUUAGUGACAUUAGUAAGUCGUUCCCUCGCCGUGGCGGCCCCUGAGCUAGUUAGAGGAGCCCCUCUAUGCUCAGUCUGGGAGAAGAUGGGCUCCGAUCUGAGCAGGCCUCGGGAGCCCCGGACGCCCCGCUGUGACCAGCCCUCCACAGAGGGGCUGCGGUCGUUGAAUCCAUGUCAUUGGCUCACUAUCGAGCAGUGGGUUUUUGUAACUGAGGAAGAGGGCAGCCGGUCCCGGGGCCCCUUUCUGCAUCCCCCCCAAGGAACAGAGUCUCUCGUUUGACCCUUCAUCCCCCUCUUUCGUUCUUUUUAAGCUUCUGGCAGAUUCUCUGGCUUAUGAAGGAGGCUUCUUGUCAGGCUCGUGAGCGCUGGCCAGUGUAUGGAGUCCAUCACCGAAAGGCAGCAGGUUUGUGAACUGGCUGAGGAUCCCCCCGAGGUGCUACCCCGAUUCCAGGGCCCCCUUUCUACCACAGUCUCUUCAAUCAAUACUUAGCACAUGUUGACGACGGGGUAGCCCAGGUGAGCAACAGCAGGGCUUGGAGGGACAGUGGAAAGAGUUUCAUGUAAUUUGCCUCAACUGUCAUUAAAUGGGGAGCUGCUGCGGUGGCUCCGAGGAUUGAGAGCUGGGCCUAGAGGCGGACUUUGCUUUCUUCUCCUCCUUUUCCCUAGUUUCCCAAUGACUAUUCUCAAGAAAUAACAAGCCCUCCAGUUCCCCCCCUUCCCCCAAGCCAUCAUUAAAACCCUGCCCUGAUUCCACCAAGCUCAGCUAACACAAAACAAAUCCAUCCAUCGACCACGGCUGAAGCUCUUGUACAUCUAAGCCCUCACCCGAGAGACGGCAAACGGUAUUGAUUCAUCAUUAGUCUACUGGCGUCAUGACCCGGUCCCGAGGCGCAGCGCUCCCGAAAUUGCUAGGAAAACAGUCUAGUAGGAAUUAUGUUUAGAACAGUGACUCACACCGAACGAGAUAGAAAGACAUACGUCGGCGAGACGGGCUCAGUUGAAAUAGCUUCUGAUGAGAAAUCACACCCCGCAGGUCUGCGAUGAGAACCAACGUUAAAAAUACCUCUGCCGAUUCUCAGGGAGCACAAAGAGGGGAUGGAUGCCCAGAGACACAAAUGGAGUUAACGCAGAGUUUGAGGAGACGUCACUUGGGUGAUGAGAUGGGGCCCUGAUUUCAGGGAGUAGGGGAGACAGAGACAAACAGAGAGAGACAGAGAGACACAGAGACAGAGAGAGAGAGAGACAGAGAGAAAGAGAGACAGACAGAGAGACAAACAGAG
rnacentral:lncRNA from 1 species